rnacentral:rRNA from 1 species
AACGAACGCUGGCGGCAGGCCUAACACAUGCAAGUCGAACGAACCGUUUACGGUGAGUGGCGCACGGGUGAGUAACACGUGGGAAUAUACAUUUCGGUAAGGAAUAACGUAGAGAAAUUUACGCUAAUACCUUAUAAUGACUACGGUCCAAAGAUUUAUCGCCGAAGGAUUAGCCCGCGUUAGAUUAGGUAGUUGGUAGGGUAAUGGCCUACCAAGCCUACGAUCUAUAGCUGGUCUUAGAGGAUGAUCAGCCACACUGGAACUGAGACACGGUCCAGACUCCUACGGGAGGCAGCAGUGAGGAAUAUUGCGCAAUGGGGGAAACCUUGACGCAGCCAUGCCGCGUGAGUGACGAAGGCCUUAGGGUUGUAAAGCUCUUUCAGAUGUAAAGAUAAUGACGGUAACAUCAGAAGAAGCUCCGGCUAAAUUCGUGCCAGCCGCCGCGGUAA